GAGGAAUAUUGGUCAAUGGACGGAAGUCUGAACCAGCCAAGUAGCGUGCAGGAUGACGGCCCUAUGGGUUGUAAACUGCUUUUGUAUGGGGAUAAAGUUAGGGACGUGUCCCUAUUUGCAGGUACCAUACGAAUAAGGACCGGCUAAUUCCGUGCCAGCAGCCGCGGUAAUACGGAAGGUCCAGGCGUUAUCCGGAUUUAUUGGGCGUAAAGCGAGCGCAGGCGGUUAGAUAAGUCUGAAGUUAAAGGCUGUGGCUUAACCAUAGUACGCUUUGGAAACUGUUUAACUUGAGUGCAAGAGGGGAGAGUGGAAUUCCAUGUGUAGCGGUGAAAUGCGUAGAUAUAUGGAGGAACACCGGUGGCGAAAGCGGCUCUCUGGCUUGUAACUGACGCUGAGGCUCGAAAGCGUGGGGAGCAAACAGGAUUAGAUACCCUGGUAGUCCACGCCGUAAACGAUGAGUGCUAGGUGUUAGACCCUUUCCGGGGUUUAGUGCCGUAGCUAACGCAUUAAGCACUCCGCCUGGGGAGUACGACCGCAAGGUUG
rnacentral:rRNA from 1 species